AGGUCCAAGGAUAUCCAUCCCCCAUUGUGCAAACGGCCAUGCGGCACUCAAGAGUGUAAGUUCGAAGGUGGGCUAUCUUUGGAUAUUUGUAUAUCUCUGACAUCGAUCACACUUUCUGACAUAUUCAAUGGAGUCGUGGUACAUUGUAGGCCAGUAAUAACCUUGUCGGAGCAGUUUGUGGGAUAAAGAUCUGACCCCC
rnacentral:lncRNA from 1 species